CGGAGGAAGGUGGGGAUGACGUCAAGUCAUCAUGCCCCUUAUGUCCAGGGCUUCACACAUGCUACAAUGGCUGGUACAGAGGGCUGCGAUACCGCGAGGUGGAGCGAAUCCCUUAAAGCCGGUCUCAGUUCGGAUCGCAGUCUGCAACUCGACUGCGUGAAGUCGGA
rnacentral:rRNA from 1 species